UACAGAGGUCUCAAGCGUUGUUCGGAUUCAUUGGGCGUAAAGGGUGUGUAGGUGGCGCGCUAAGUCGGGUGUGAAAUUUCGGAGCUUAACUCCGAAACUGCAUUCGAUACUGGCGUGCUUGAGGACUGGAGAGGAGACUGGAAUUCAUGGUGUAGCGGUGAAAUGCGUAGAUAUCGGGAGGAACACCGGUGGCGAAGGCGGCCCCCUGGUUGGAUACUGACGCUGAGACGCGAAAGCGUGGGGAGCAAACAGG
rnacentral:rRNA from 1 species